rnacentral:rRNA from 1 species
GACGUAGGUGGCGAACGUUAUCCGGAAUUAUUGGGCGUAAAGGGUGCGUAGGUGGCCUGACAAGUUAUCAGUGGCAAAUCGAGGCUCAACCUCGUGGAAACUGGUAAUACUGUUCGGCUUGAGUACAGGAGAGGUUAACGGAACUCUAUGUGGAAGCGGUAAAAUGCACAGAUAUAUAGAAGAACAUCAAUAAAGGCGAAGGCAGUUAACUAUUCUGUUACUGACGCUGAGGCACGAAAGCGUGGGGAGCAAAACGG